AGAGUUUGAUCAUGGCUCAGAACGAACGCUGGCGGCGUGGCUAAAGCAUGCAAGUCGCACGCGAACGCUCCCUUCGGGGAGUUAUUAGAGUGGCGAAAGGGCGAGUAACGCAUGGGUAACGUACCCCUCGCACGGGGAUAGCUGCGGGAAACUGCAGGUAAUACCCGAUGAGACCACAGUGCCAUAGGGCACAGCGGUCAAAGGGUGGGGAUCCUUCGGGACCUACUGGCGAGAGAGCGGCCCAUGUCCUAUCAGCUUGUUGGUGAGGUAACGGCUCACCAAGGCAUCGACGGGUACCGGGACUGAGAGGUUGGCCCGGCGCAUUGGGACUGAGACACUGCCCAGACUCCUACGGGAGGCUGCAGCACCGAAUAUUCCGCAAUGGGCGCAAGCCUGACGGAGCGACGCCGCGUGUGGGAUGAAGCCCUUCGGGGUGUAAACCACUGUCAGGGACUACCAAGCAAUGAGGGUUAAUACCCCUCGGCGUUGAGGAUUCCCAGAGGAAGCCACGGCUAACUUCGUGCCAGCAGCCGCGGUAAGACGAAGGUGGCAAGCGUUGUUCGGAAUCACUGGGCUUAAAGAGCACGUAGGCGGCCUGUCAAGCGUCGGGUGAAAUCCCUCGGCUCAACCGAGGAAUGGCAAGGCGAACUGACAGGCUUGAGGCAGGUAGGGGCACAUGGAACUCUUGGUGGAGCGGUGGAAUGCGUAGAUAUCAAGAGGAACGCCGGUGGCGAAAGCGGUGUGCUGGGCCUGUCCUGACGCUGAGGUGCGAAAGCCAGGGGAGCAAACGGG
rnacentral:rRNA from 1 species